rnacentral:rRNA from 1 species
AACGAACGCUGGCGGCAGGCUUAACACAUGCAAGUCGAGCGCCCCGCAAGGGGAGCGGCAGACGGGUGAGUAACGCGUGGGAACGUACCCUUUGCUGCGGAAUAGCUCCGGGAAACUGGAAUUAAUACCGUAUGUGCCCUACGGGGAAAGAUUUAUCGGCAAAGGAUCGGCCCGCGUUGGAUUAGCUAGUUGGUGGGGUAAUGGCCUACCAAGGCGACGAUCCAUAGCUGGUCUGAGAGGAUGAUCAGCCACAUUGGGACUGAGACACGGCCCAAACUCCUACUGGAGGCAGCAGUGGGGAAUAUUGGACAAUGGGCGCAAGCCUGAUCCAGCCAUGCCGCGUGAGUGAUGAAGGCCUUAGGGUUGUAAAGCUCUUUCACCGGAGAAGAUAAUGACGGUAUCCGGAGAAGAAGCCCCGGCUAACUUCGUGCCAGCCGCCGCAGUAACAC